rnacentral:lncRNA from 1 species
CCCAGAGUAGACACUGGCAAAUUAAAUGAGUGAGUGGAUGUGGCAGACACCAUGGCGGGCAGACUUCAUCUCCACCCUCCAGAGGUGCAGGAUUUGGGCUGGAGAAUCACCACACAAAGCCGAGCCAGACACCAGGAGGCAGCGUCAGUGGAAAGUCUACAGGGAGAGCUGUGGCCCCAGGAGCAGGCAGACGUGGAUGAGAACAGAGGGCCGGACUGUGCCAGGCGAGCUCAGGGCAAAAGUCAACAUCAGCCGCCUGCAGGUCCAGUGUGAGGAGCAUCCGGAGGUGACAUUUACUAACGGCACGUGGAGGGCCAGCCUGGGA